UCUCAGUGUAUAUAACUUAGACUACACGUUGUCGAAGAAUAAAGAAGGAAAUUACUGAAAACCUUCCAAACAGAAGAAAAAGAAAACAAUUUCGACAGCAGACUGGAAGGAACAACUGACUGACUCACUCUGAAGUGUUAACAAAGGCAGGAGGGAGAGUUAAGAGAACACGACACGAUCAGCUCCAGUAGACACGGCAGGCUGUGAGAGAAAAAAAAAAAAUCUUUGGAAAACACAAAAGGACAAAACCUCCAAAUGCUCCAAUUUGUAUCGUCUCCAGCUGUUGCUGCUCAUUGUGUUCUCUGGAAGGAUAAGAGGAUUUCGGUCACCUGUCACCGUUUGCCAUGUUUGUGGCAGUUUUGAUUCCUCGGUCUUCUAUCUGCCCUUGCUCCUGAGAGACACAUCAUCAAACUGGAAAGAACAGGUCUGGGCACGUGAUGUUUGCUGUGAGCUCGCGUUUGCUGUGAGCUCUCACGUACAAGGGGCAUGACUCUGGCCAGCUGAGAACAUCCGGGGGUGGACUCUAUGGAGAGAAGAUACACAGAGCCCCAACCACCACCAUACACACACUGAGGCUUCACUUUUUGGAUCGACAUCACUGCGCUGAUCUUCCUGCUUCAACACUUGACUUCACAGAGAGAAACGUUCCAGAGAUCUUCUCAAGGGGUUUUAUGUAAGCAGAUUAAAACAAAAGGAAGCACAUUUUUCUUGGCUCCAGUGAACACAUAUAUCCUGACAUCUGACAUUGGCACUGCAAGCAAACACAGUUAAAUGCUCAGCCUCUGGCACGCUGCUAUGAAUGACAGUUCUGAUCUGUGGAAUGGUAAGAUUUUAAGGGGGGUUUCCUUGUAAACAGUGAGGCCUCUGGAACAUGAUUAACAGCUCUUGCAAGCAACGUCAAGCAGCUAGGUCCUUACCUUACAAAGGAGCUGGACAUGAGUCCGAUGAAUCCCACGGCAGCGCCCACGACGGCUGUCUUCCGGCAGCCAAACAUGUCUGUGAAGACGCUCACGAUGGGGCAGCAGAAGAAGAUCAUGCCCAUGGACAGCGAGCCUACCCACGCUGGAAAAGAAGAGGGGAGCGUUACAGCGCUGCUAACCGUAUUCGGAGAGCGGCUAACGCACGGCAAAGGAGAGCACUGACACACGCUGAAAACCACAAGUCCUGCGAAAGAAGACUGUUCUCUUAAAACGUUACGUGGGUGCUGGGAUCAAACUCAGUCCCCACAAGAGCACAAGUGCUUUGAGCACACAGCAGCUCCCCAGCCUGCUGCUUUAUUCCUGCUGUACUAACAUCAGCACAAUGCUGAAGAGAACAUCUACAGAGAAGACAAGGGCCACCGUGGAACCAAAGUAACUAAACUGGAGACUGCGGGAUGGUCAGCCAGACCGUCAAGGAAACCUGCUCCACCCGACCUGCGCCUACACCAAGAAAAACGUCUGUCUGCUAAGAAGCGACCGAGAAUAAACAUCAGCGGAGGCUCUCGGGGAGGGAGACAGAAAAAUGGAAAAAAAGGCUUUGGCAUCAUCUGCAAAGGUAUCAAGACUCUUUGGAGGACUGAACUUCAAAGGACUACUGACCUCACUCAACCCUCAGCAGCCAUUGGACGUGGAACCUGGGGCCUUGCGCAGCCUCAGCAAGCGCUGUAUCACCCAGCCAUGUACUCAGGCCUUUUCCAUUUUGAGAUAGGAUCUUGCUAAAUGACCCACCCUGGCCCUGAACUUGCAAUAUAGUCCAGAAAGGCUUUGAACUGACAGUCCUCCCUGAGCAGCUGGGAUUGCAGGAACCACUGCCGUGAGACAGUGUCUCCAUCGAGAGGGAAAGCCACCGCUAAUACCACCCAGGAUUCUAAAGAGAAAUUCUAAAGAUGUGUCUGUCUGUGGAAGGAGGAUGAGAACCAACAUUUGGAGAGCUCCCCACGUGGCAGACAUGGUGUGAGUGUGUGAGCACUCUUCCCUGUCUUCAGCAGCCUUGGUGAAGUAGCCACUGCUUGGUGAUUUCCCUGAGCGUGCUCGAUGGUGUAAGUGGAAGCACCCGGAUUCACCGCCUCGCCUGCCUGGCCCAAAGCCCAGCUCUUUGCCUUCCUCAUGAGCACCAUGCAGCUUUCAUAAGUUCUGGUUAGCACACCUAAGCUAACCAGAAGACAACUGUUAAUGUUUUUAAAAUAUGUCUUAGCUUUUAAAUUCUCAAACAUCAAGAAAAGCAGUUUCUGGUCCAGCAAGAUGGCUCAGUGGACAAAAGGAGCCUACUACCAAUCCUGAGAACCUGAGCUCAAUCCCGUGUGGGGGAAGGAGAGAACCAAGUCCUGCAAGUUGUCCUCUGACCUCCACGUGCACACCAUGGUCAUGUGCACACGUAAACACAAAAUAAUAAAGAAAUGACUAUGUAACUAAUUUUUUAAAAAAGAAAAAUUACUUCCCUUAAAUGUGGGAGAUCAACAUAGUAACUCUUUCAACUAGCUAGUUAGGACCCAACAAAUCUACUUAUAACACCCUUCUAUGAGGAAAUACAUCAGAACCAGCUUCCUCCAAGAAUGUUCUACCAAACUGCCUCAGUUAGGUAGGGCUGCAGCACUUACCAUUAGGGUACACACACACACACACACACACACACACACACACACACACACAAAAGGGAGAGGAAACACUCACAACUUGUCUCCCAAAUCUAAGUUUUUCUUCACAUCCUAUGUGUAUACAAAACAAACCUAUCUCUUCAAUCUUUGAAAGGGAAGUGACUGCUGAAUACCUAACGCCUUUCUCAAAGAGGGCUGAAUAGAAAUCUAUUUCCUUUGUCCAUAGUACGAUGUCCCUCCUUCUCUCCAACAACUUGUUCUGCAAAGCCACAAAAAAGGGUUCCUACACAGAAAGCUGAGGAUGCUUAUAGCAAGAUAUCAACCGUUAAAAACUCUCAUACAACGUAACAACCUUGAUUCCACACAAGUUUUCCUUGCACUUUUCAA